rnacentral:snRNA from 1 species
GUGCUCGCUUCGGCAGCACAUAUACUAAAAUUGGAACGAUACAGAGAAGUUUAGCAUGGCCCCUGCGCAAGCAUAAAAGAAACCAUAUCAGAAAUCAGACAGGAAAAA